rnacentral:rRNA from 1 species
AGUGAACGCUGGCGGUAGGCCUAACACAUGCAAGUCGAACGGCAGCACAGUAAGAGCUUGCUCUUACGGGUGGCGAGUGGCGGACGGGUGAGGAAUACAUCGGAAUCUACUUUUUCGUGGGGGAUAACGUAGGGAAACUUACGCUAGUACCGCAUACGACCUACGGGUGAAAGCAGGGGAUCUUCGGACCCUGCGCGAUUGAAUGAGCCGAUGUCGGAUUAGCUAGUUGGCGGGGUAAAGGCCCACCAAGGCGACGAUCCGUAGCUGGUCUGAGAGGAUGAUCAGCCACACUGGAACUGAGACACGGUCCAGACUCCUACGGGAGGCAGCAGUGGGGAAUAUUGGACAAUGGGCGCAAGCCUGAUCCAGCCAUACCGCGUGGGUGAAGAAGGCCUUCGGGUUGUAAAGCCCUUUUGUUGGGAAAGAAAAGCAGCAGGUUAAUACCCCGCUGUUCUGACGGUACCCAAAGAACAAGCACCGGCUAACUUCGUG